rnacentral:rRNA from 1 species
UACCGAGGUGGCAAGCGUUGUUCGGAAUUACUGGGCGUAAAUGGCGCGUAGGCGGUCCCUUAAGUCGGGGGUGAAAGCCCAGGGCUCAACCCUGGAACUGCCUUCGAUACUGGGAGUCUUGAGUGUGGAAGAGGUUGGUGGAACUGCGAGUGUAGAGGUGAAAUUCGUAGAUAUUCGCAAGAACACCAGUGGCGAAGGCGGCCAACUGGUCCACUACUGACGCUGAGGUGCGAAAGCGUGGGGAGCAAACAGG